UUUCCACUUUCAAUAAGCGGAGGAAAAGAAACUAACAAGGAUUCCCCUAGUAACGGCGAGUGAAGCGGGAAGAGCUCAAAUUUGUAAUCUGGCACUUUCAGUGUCCGAGUUGUAAUCUCGAGAAGUAUUUUCCGCGCCGGACCGCAUACAAGUCUGUUGGAAUACAGCGUCAUAGUGGUGAGAACCCCGUAACUGAUGCGGAUGCCCGGUGCUUUGUGAUAUACUUUCGAAGAGUCGAGUUGUUUGGGAAUGCAGCUCAAAUUGGGUGGUAAAUUCCAUCUAAAGCUAAAUAUUGGAGCAAGACCGAUAGCGAACAAGUACCGUGAGGGAAAGAUGAAAAGCACUUUGGAAAGAGAGUUAACAGUACGUGAAAUUGUUGGAAGGGAAACGCUUGAAGUCAGACUUGCUAUUCGGAGUUCAGCCGCAAGGUGUAUUCUUCGAUUUGCAGGCCAGCAUCAGUUUUUGGGGGUGGAAAAUCGUGGUUUGAAGGUAGCAGUUUCGGCUGUGUUAUAGCUUUCCACUGGAUUCAUCUUCGGGGACUGAGGAACGCAGUACGCUUUUUGCAAGGCUUUCGAGCUUUUCGUACUUAGGACU
rnacentral:rRNA from 1 species